UACGUAGGUGGCAAGCGUUAUCCGGAAUUAUUGGGCGUAAAGAGCUCGUAGGCGGUUUGUCGCGUCUGCCGUGAAAGUCCGGGGCUCAACUCCGGAUCUGCGGUGGGUACGGGCAGACUAGAGUGAUGUAGGGGAGACUGGAAUUCCUGGUGUAGCGGUGAAAUGCGCAGAUAUCAGGAGGAACACCGGUGGCGAAGGCGGGUCUCUGGGCCGAUACUGACGCUGAGGAGCGAAAGCGUGGGGGAGCGAACAGGAUUAGAACCGUACCGU
rnacentral:rRNA from 1 species